rnacentral:rRNA from 1 species
UACGGAGGGUGCAAGCGUUAUCCGGAUUUACUGGGUUUAAAGGGUGCGUAGGCGGACAGGUAAGUCAGUGGUGAAAUCCCCGAGCUCAACUUGGGAGCUGCCGUUGAUACUAUCUGUCUUGAAUACCGUGGAGGUGAGCGGAAUAUGUCAUGUAGCGGUGAAAUGCUUAGAUAUGACAUAGAACACCGAUUGCGAAGGCAGCUCACUACGCGGUCAUUGACGCUGAGGCACGAAAGCGUGGGGAGCAAACAGG